rnacentral:lncRNA from 1 species
AAUAAAAUAAACAAUAAUUUGAGAAAAAUUGUAUUUAUUAACAUAACAGUAUCACAUUUGUUUUAAAAAUGGACGGAUGAUAAUCUAAAACUAACAUAGUUUGAUGUUCUAAGUAAUAAUACAUAAUAUAUGACAACAAUUUAAAAUUUUAAUAACUAUUAACUACUAGCAUAACAAUAACACAUUUGUAGUGCUUUGAACAAAAGAGAAUGGCAAAUGACGAAGCAUCAGAAAAUUGCUUUUGCAGAAAGGUUUCACAUGGCCAAUUCUCUUUUCCACUAAUUAUGAAUUGAUAAUUUUUCGAUAGAUGUAGUCCCGAAUUACAAUGAAAAUAAACGCCCAAUCCUUACGUCUUGAAAUAGUCACGGUCGUCCCCCAAAAAUGGGACAGACCAAUACAGAAAAUAAAAAUAAAAAAACCCAUAUCAAAUCAUUAGAAGUUCAAUACACAUCUAAACUUGUGUGUAAUGUAAAAGGUUUCAUAUGAUACAGUUCUAAGCACAAAAAAAUAAAAUAGCAACUAACUAAAAUUCUGCGAUACAAUACUAAUUGUUGAUAUUCACAUGUUUUCCUUACAGUAAUAUGAAAUCUUGAAUUCAAUACAUUAUGAC